GUCGUAGACAACACAGGGGGCGAACAAGCUUCCUUCAACCAAACCCUAACUAGCCAAAAAUCAAGCAAUUGGAAGGCCAAAUCAGUCCCAAAUCGAAAUCUAAGUUUAUUUUAGUGAUCACCUAAGUGAAGGGAUCACAAGUUUGACUCUGACAAGCUAGGUAGAAGCUUGGAAAUGAACGGGUCAAAUGGAUACAAGUUCAAGUAUAAAGCUCGCAAGGAUGCAAGGAGUGAACCGGAAGUGGAUAAUUGUGUCGCUAUAAAGUAGCGACUAAUAAAAGCAAGGUGAAUGUAGCUGCCAUCCGGAUGUCGAUCAAGCAAUGAAGUGAACCAAACACUAUGCAGUUACAAGCUUCCACACAUAGUUUCGUCGUUAUUUAUAAACGGCGAACUCAAUUACAUUACAUUGUAUUGUUCUUAAAUUGUAAAAGUUUUAAUAAACCCGUAUUUUUCAAUAUAUGUGUAUCCAUAAU
rnacentral:lncRNA from 1 species